GGAGGUUCUAGCAGGGGCUGCCUUCUCGUAUACCCUUGACCCGAAGAGCGGUUUUACUCCCUUCUAUCUGGGAUGGUCGUCCUCUUCCACCGAGCGCGCAGCUUCGGGAGGGACGCACAUGGAGCGGUGAGGGAGGACUGCAAAACAUACG